CUGAACUCUAAGCUCUUCAAUGCAGAGUUCAAGGAGAUUGUCAGUUCUUGGCACACCCUUCCAAAUUCCACAAGAGAAUGUGGAAACUAUAAUGAGAUUGGCAAUCUAGUCUUGGGGGAAUGAUGAAGCUUCACGUUUAUACCUGUUCAACUGGGAAGCAGAUGAAUACAGCAUCAGAGACUGAGUAGGGGCAAGUUGCUGCUGUUAAUGGAGUACAGAGGUGGAAAAUAUCAAUGCUCUCCUGCAUAACCCAGUGGUGUGCCAUGAAGGACAGCCAUCUAGUGAAACACAGGUCAGGAUCAUGCAGCAAGAGGAACUAAAGUUCAGAGCAGACUAUUUCUCUUUUCUAAGUUCUGCAACUUUUAUCACAGCCAUGGUGACAAUUCUGUAGUAAAAUCCUUUUGGAAUCUCCUAAGCCAUGGUGGUUGGAAAAGCCAAAUAAAUUUCUGAAACUA